ACUGCAUUUUUUCUUACACAUGUGUUUUUCUUUUUUUGAAAACUUUGCUUUGGUAGGCCUUCUAUAUGGGGCCUGCCAGAGAUUAAACUCAACCAAAUUUUAUUUAAUGUCAACCGAUUAUUUAAUAGUCAAAACUUUCAACAACGGAUCUCUUGGUUCUCGCAUCGAUGAAGAACGCAGCGAAAUGCGAUAAGUAAUAUGAAUUGCAGAUAUUCGUGAAUCAUCGAAUCUUUGAACGCACAUUGCGCCCUUUGGUAUUCCAAAGGGCAUGCCUGUUUGAGCGUCAUUUCUCCCUCAAACCCUCGGGUUUGGUGUUGAGCGAUACGCUGGGUUUGCUUGAAAGAAAGGCGGAGUAUAAACUAAUGGAUAGGUUUUUUCCACUCAUUGGUACAAACUCCAAAACUUCUUCCAAAUUCGACCUCAAAUCAGGUAGGACUACCCGCUGAACUUAAGCAUAUCAAUAAGCGGAGGAAAAGAAACCAACAGGGAUUGCCUUAGUAGCGGCGAGUGAAGCGGCAAAAGCUCAAAUUUGAAUCUGGCACUUUCAGUGUCCGAGUUGUAAUUUGAAGAAGGUAUCUUUGGGUCUGGCUCUUGUCUAUGUUUCUUGGAACAGAACGUCACAGAGGGUGAGAAUCCCGUGCGAUGAGAUGUCCCAGACCUAUGUAAAGUUCCUUCGAAGAGUCGAGUUGU
rnacentral:rRNA from 1 species